AAAAACAUGUCCUAUUGAAGUUUUAAUAGGUCUGGCCUGCCCACUGAGAUUUAAAGGGCCGCGGUAUUUUGACCGUGCGAAGGUAGCAUAAUCAUUAGUUUUUUAAUUGAAGGCUUGUAUGAAUGGUCGGACAAGAAAUAAGCUGUCUUUAUAGGAUUUAUUGAAUUUAACUUUUAAGUAAAAAGGCUUAAAUGAAUUAAGGGGACGAUAAGACCCUAUAAAGCUUUAUAAUUUUUCUUAUUUUUUAAGAAUAGUUUGUAAAAGUUAAUUUAUUAGAGAAAUUAUUAUGUUGGGGCGACAAAAGUAAAAUUUAUUAUCUGCUUUUAUUUUAUAACAAAUAAUUUUUGUAAUAUUAAUGAUCCUAGUUAAAGAUUAUAAGUUUAAGUUACUUUAGGGAUAACAGCGUAAUUCUUUUUGAGAGUCCUUAUCGAGAAAAGAGUUUGCGACCUCGAUGUUGAAUUAAGUUGUCUUCUUAUGUGCAGCAGCUAAGAUAGAUGGUCUGUUCGACCUUUAAAAACUUACAUGAUUUGAGUUCAAACCGGCGUGAGCCAGGUUGG
rnacentral:rRNA from 1 species